rnacentral:rRNA from 1 species
UACGGGGGGGGCAAGCGUUGUUCGGAAUUACUGGGCGUAAAGGGCUCGUAGGUGGCCAACUAAGUCAGACGUGAAAUCCCUCGGCUUAACCGGGGAACUGCAUCUGAUACUGGAUGGCUUGAGUUUGGGAGAGGGAUGCGGAAUUCCAGGUGUAGCGGUGAAAUGCGUAGAUAUCCGGAGGAACACCGGUGGCGAAGGCGGCUUCCUGGACCGACACUGACGCUGAGGCGCGAAAGCUAGGGGAGCAAACGGG